UUGAACGCUGGCGGCAGGCCUAACACAUGCAAGUCGAGCGGUAGAGAGGAGCUUGCUUCUCUUGAGAGCGGCGGACGGGUGAGUAAUGCCUAGGAAUCUGCCUGGUAGUGGGGGAUAACGUUCGGAAACGGACGCUAAUACCGCAUACGUCCUACGGGAGAAAGCAGGGGACCUUCGGGCCUUGCGCUAUCAGAUGAGCCUAGGUCGGAUUAGCUAGUUGGUGAGGUAAUGGCUCACCAAGGCGACGAUCCGUAACUG
rnacentral:rRNA from 1 species